UACGUAGGGUGCGAGCGUUAAUCGGAAUUACUGGGCGUAAAGCGUGCGCAGGCGGUUUUGUAAGCCAGAUGUGAAAUCCCCGAGCUUAACUUGGGAACUGCAUUUGGGACUGCAAGGCUAGAGUACGGCAGAGGGGGGUAGAAUUCCUGGUGUAGCAGUGAAAUGCGUAGAUAUCAGGAGGAAUACCGAUGGCGAAGGCAGCCCCCUGGGUCGAUACUGACGCUCAUGCACGAAAGCGUGGGGAGCGAUCCGG
rnacentral:rRNA from 1 species